AUAUUGGACAAUGGGGGCAACCCUGAUCCAGCCACGCCGCGUGAGUGAUGAAGGCCUUCGGGUCGUAAAGCUCUGUGGGGAGAGACGAACGUCCGGCAUGACCUGUCGGGGUGACGGUAUCUCCUUAGCAAGCACCGGCUAACUUCGUGCCAGCAGCCGCGGUAAUACGAAGGGUGCAAACGUUGCUCGGAAUCAUUGGGCGUAAAGCGCACGUAGGCGGCUUCGCAAGUCGGAUGUGAAAUCCCUCGGCUCAACCGAGGACGUGCAUCCGAAACUGCGAGGCUUGAGUACUGAAGAGGAUCGCGGAAUUCCCGGUGUAGAGGUGAAAUUCGUAGAUAUCGGGAGGAACACCAGUGGCGAAGGCGGCGAUCUGGGCAGUUACUGACGCUGAGGUGCGAAAGCGUGGGGAGCAAACAGG
rnacentral:rRNA from 1 species